UUCUGAUGGCUACUUCCAGCAGGAUAACGCACCAUGUCAUAAAGCGCGAAUCAUCUCAGACUGGUUUCUUGAACAUGACAAUGAGUUCACUGUACUCAAAUAGCCUCCACAGUCACCAGAUCUAAAUCCAAUAAAGCAUCUUUGAGAUGUGGUGGAACGGGAGGUUCGCAUCAUGGAUGUGCAGCUGACAAAUCAGCAGCAACUCUGUCAUGCUAUCAUGUCAACAUGGACCAAAAUCGCUGAGGAAUAUUUCCAGUACCUUGUUGAAUCUAUGCCACAAAGGAUUCUGAAGGCAAAAGUGGGUCCAACCUGGUACUAGUAAGGUCUACCUAAUAAAGUGGCUGAGUAUGACCUUUUGGUACCAACAAGGGAUAUUGGCUAUAUGUUUGCGUUACCCAAGAAGUUGAACAAGCAUACUUAAUAAAGUUGUAGUUGUUUUCUCAUCACAUAUUGUGUUCCUAACUCUGCGGUGGCCGGAUCUUUCUCUCUCAAUCUCCCUGUGACACACUGAAGUGGAUGUGCCAAGCCCUGACUUGUUCAGAGAGAGGCACCAAUUUAUUACCGCCAAUCUGCUGUUACUCUAGGUUGGUACUAAAAAAAACACCCUUUGGUCUGUAGCA